AUUGUAGUAUCGGAAAAAGGAUAGGAUUAGGAUAAUUUAGAUUUGUAAAAUUCUCCUAAUACUAUUUAUUAAGAUAAAUGAAAAUAACAGAGAUUAAUUGGACAGAGAACGAUAAAUGUUCAACUUGAACUAAAACACAAAAGUCUUAUUCCGCUCAAAUCACUCUCGCAACUCUAUAACUCUAACAACUCGAUCUCUCUACAACGCUAGCAACUCUACAACUCUCGUCUUCGGCAUCUGCACUCGCACGCUCUCGCUUCUCAACUCAUACUGCACGCCUUUUGCAUUCGUUCUCGCUGGCGUCUCAACUAACUCUAUCCUUAGCGUCUCUUUGUCUUUUCUCAUCCCAUCGAACACGUGUCCCGAAACCCCGUGGCCAGGGUCACGCAGGCUCUUUCCACAAAACUGUUCACUCGAAAGGACCGACGGCGUGAUGUACUCGACGGCGCCACGGCUCUCGCCACUUUGUAUACGGUUCGGCCGAUAUCUUGGGCCUUUUGCCCACGAUACUACAAUAUAGAUUACGUCUUACUGAAUGGCAUAAGUUUCUCAAUUUGUCCGCUGAACAGUAAGUUUUAAUCGCUGUGUUAAUUGCUUAUAUAAGACCGUCGGAUAUACGUGAAAUAUGACCGUAGCGUACAACGAAAUGUAGAUUGUUUUCAAUAAAGCACAGUUCAUGACGCUAUGUUAUGACGUGAUAGCCUUUCACGAGCAUUAAAUAUACGACCUUAGUUGAGUUUAAUUACACGCCAUUAUAAUACGCCACUUGGUCGAAUGUAGAAGAAUGUAGUAUAAGUGAAAGAGAAAGAAAUCCAAAGUUUUGAUUAAAAACAUAUCAGUGAGUGAGACAAUAAAAAUGCAACGGUUAAACUUUUUUAUUGUUCAUUUUUGUUGUAUUAACUUUUCACCAUUGUUGAUGAGAGGUUUUUCUGAUUAAAAAACAGACCAUGCACGAUAUAAUACCACCUUCCUUGGAGUAUAUUUACUUAUUUAAUGAUAUUAACUUAUCUCCUUUUUUAUUAGAUAUUAGUAUUAUGAUUAUUAGACAUGUUAUCACGUUCGCAGCAAGUUUCCUUACUUGGAGAUAGUAUAAUCGGCUAGAGAUGGAAAAUACACCAAUUUCCUAGGUGGAGAACCGCUCUCGAGUUAUAGAGCCGGUACUUUGCUGCUUGAAGGGCCGUUUCUUUUUUAUAUGAACUCUUUUAAAACGUUAUUUAUGCGGUUUAACUUUUUCUUCUAAAAUUGCUACAUUUAGAACAUUUAGAAUUUUAAUAAAUAAAAAAAAAAAAAAAAAGAAAAAACAUUUAGAACAAAUUAGAUGGCAGUUUUCAGGAUAUUACAAGACAAAGAUUUUGUGUCUCGUCAUUAAGAUCUUUGCAUCCCUUUAACACUGAUUUUAAUUUUUAUAAAAGAGAUACGUGUCGAAAGUCGAUUCAUAUAUAAUUUGAAAAUGAAAUUUGAAAUUUCAUAUUACUCUUUAACUAUAGAAACAUUCCGAUAACUUGUGCAUAAUAUUGCA
rnacentral:misc_RNA from 1 species